AUUUAUAAGCAGCAAAAUCUGAGAAAAGCAGCAUGGCUGAGUGGUGCCACCAACAAGACCUGCAGACCAGCCAGUUCCAUGUUCAAGAAGGAAAAUGGUACUAUCUGUCUUAGAGAAUCAACACCCACAGCUCUAAGGUUACCAUGACACAUUCUGAGGAGACAGUAAGGUGUUCAUCUCUCUGACAUCCAGAUCCUAUCUGUACGUGGAGCUCAGCUGCAUUGUGCACUGCUAACUGGCCCAUUGGUGCUAGAUGAGAACCUUUGGCUGGGACAUCAUCAGUUUGUCAUAGAAUGUUCAUAUGAACCACAGGGACUGCUACCCUUUCUAUUAUGCCACUAAGUCUUCAUGUUAAUUCAAUUAAGUAUUCGUGUCUCUCUGCAAAACAAACCUGGAAAUCUGUUUUCUAAUUGAUUAAUGUAUUUACCAUAGAUUUUAAAAUGAUAAGAGCAACCUGAUACAGUAGUGCAUACUGCCCAAACUGUAAGACAGUAAGACCCCCCUUAAGCAUUGUGAAUGGUGAAAUAGUCAAUAGUGAAUCACCUUUUAUAAAUUACCUACUUCAAAAUGGAAAGUAUUUCAUUAAUCUUACAUAUAUAUUUAAACUUUAGAAUAGUAAUACUCUGUUGAAACUAAGGAAAUUUCCACACUUGAUAAUGAAGAUUCUUUAUCUUAUGGAAGAUUUUAUCUCAAGUUUGUUUCUAAAAAUACGGUUGAGAGGAUAAAAUAUUCCAUGGUAAAAUCACAAUAAAAUUUUCACAUUAAAAAUGA